rnacentral:rRNA from 1 species
AGUGAACGCUGGCGGUAUGCCUAACACAUGCAAGUCGAACGGCAGCACAGUAAGAGCUUGCUCUUACGGGUGGCGAGUGGCGGACGGGUGAGGAAUACAUCGGAAUCUACUUUUUCGUGGGGGAUAACGUAGGGAAACUUACGCUAAUACCGCAUACGACCUACGGGUGAAAGCAGGGGAUCUUCGGACCUUUCGCGAUUGAAUGAGCCGAUGCCGGAUUAGCUAGUUGGCGGGGUAAAGGCCCACCAAGGCGACGAUCCGUAGCUGGUCUGAGAGGAUGAUCAGCCACACUGGAACUGAGACACGGUCCAGACUCCUACGGGAGGCAGCAGUGGGGAAUAUUGGACAAUGGGCGAAAGCCUGAUCCAGCCAUACCGCGUGGGUGAAGAAGGCCUUCGGGUUGUAAAGCCCUUUUGUUGGGAAAGAAAAGCAGCAGGUUAAUACCCCGCUGUUCUGACGGUACCCAAAGAAUAAGCACCGGCUAACUUCGUG